rnacentral:piRNA from 1 species
UGGAACAUGAUAAAAAAUUUCUGAUUAGUUC